UUAUUAUUAAGAUGUUCAAUAGUAUAUACGACUUACAGUUUGUCUACAAUUCAAAGAAAUGGAUUUCACGAAAACUAUCAUGUUGCUUCUGGUGAUUGUGGCUCUGACGUUUACGUCAGCUGGUCGUCGCCGCAGAGUUUGCCGCUUGGAUAUCGCCACCGGAAACUGCGCGGAGGUUGUUGGGCUACGGGGAGCGCUUAAGGGAGUCGGACUGUGUCAGAGACAGGGCGGUAAAUGCAUUCACUUUCAAAGAGGUGGCACCAUCAGGUGUGCGUGCAUCGAGGAGAAACCGGACAUCGUGAGAUUGUUUUAGUGUUGUUAAAGAUCAGAGGCAGUUUCGCAAGGAGUUCCAAAGGCAGUUGUAAAGCAGUGCAGUACUAAAAUGUUGAAAUGAUAUUGUGUUCAAGAGGAUAUGUUUCUCUCAUAUAUACUCGAAAAUGGGAUUUGUGAAAAAGGCAAGCAUUAUCACAUGUACCUGUUACACGGAAAUUUGAAUCUAGUUAUGUAAAUAUUGCAUUUAUUAUUUUAUCUAUUUUUCUAUGAUUGUGAUCGUAGUGCCAUUGUUCUUUGUUUAUUCUACAUUUGUAGUUGAGAUUAUUUUAUCACUUUUACAUAUACUUAUUGCAUACGAAAGUGCCAGUCCAAACGUAUCAUUUUACAUUGCUAUUAAAUAUGUUAAGUGUUUAUAUGAACGUGUUUGUGUGUAUUACAUAAUAAAAUGUAAAUUUCA